UGCCAGCAGCCGCGGUAACACGUACCGUACGAACGUUAUUCGGAAUUACUGGGCGUAAAGCGCGCGUAGGCGGCUUUGUAAGUCGGAUGUGAAAGCCCUGGGCUUAACCUGGGAAUGGCAUUCGAAACUGCAGAGCUAGAGUAUGGUAGAGGGAAGUGGAAUUUCCGGUGUAGCGGUGAAAUGCGUAGAUAUCGGAAGGAACACCAGUGGCGAAGGCGACUUCCUGGGCCAAUACUGACGCUGAGGUGCGAAGGCUAGGGUAGCGAAGCGGAUUAGAUA
rnacentral:rRNA from 1 species